GACGAACGCUGGCGGCGUGCUUAACACAUGCAAGUCGAGCGGUAAGGCCCUUUCGGGGGGUACACGAGCGGCGAACGGGUGAGUAACACGUGGGUGACCUGCCCUCAGCUCUGGGAUAAGCCUGGGAAACCGGGUCUAAUACUGGAUAUGACUCCAUGACGCAUGUUGUGGGGUGGAAAGCCUUGUGCGGCUGAGGAUGGGCCCGCGGCCUAUCAGCUUGUUGGUGGGGUGANGGCCUACCAAGGCGACGACGGGUAGCCGGCCUGAGAGGGCGACCGGCCACACUGGGACUGAGACACGGCCCAGACUCCUACGGGAGGCAGCAGUGGGGAAUCUUGGACAAUGGGGGAAACCCUGAUCCAGCCAUGUCGCGUGAGUGAUGAAGGCC
rnacentral:rRNA from 1 species